UACAGCUCAAGACUGUUGCCCUCUGCCACCAGAGGCAUACAUAAGCCAGUGGUGAGCUGUGACAUACAAUCUAUGAUAUGUCCUCCUACAACAUUUUGCUCAUCAUCAAACACUGAGAAAACUGAAAUGACCUUGUCCCUGACGAGCUUUUAAUGAUGAGGAAGCGACUCAACAAUCGAUGCUCAAGAGGUUGAAAUAAGAAAGCCACUCCGGCCACAUAGGAACCAUUGCAGAACUCCAGGGAUGCUUCAUUGCAGCAUGACAAAAGUUAGGAGCGAUGCUGUGGAGCGAUGGGGCUCUGUGGAGGAACAAAGCAAGAAUUCCUGUGCUCACUGCUGUAUUCUCCUUCAACACACACUGAAAAAUAAUAG
rnacentral:lncRNA from 1 species